AGCUAACCUGCACUGGACUUAGGCUGAAUUUGUCAUUUAUUUCAAUUUGCCGGCUUGUUGAAGCAUAUUGAUUCGACCGCACCUUUUUUGCUCUAUUGGACUUCGAUCUCAGUGGACUCACAAUGGUUUAACACAGGAGCUUUCUUCGAACAUGAGGUCUUUCAGGUGGCUCAAAUUAAGAUGGAAAAUCCCUACUAGACCCUUCUCUCCCCCCCCCAAGACUAUGACACAAGGACUCUUCUGGAUCCCGUAUUUCUAAAUACCAAAAAUCGUUUUAACUCUGGAACGGCCAUUUAUUUACUAUUUACUAUUUGCUAUUUUUUCAAUCUUUCCUCUAUUGUAAUGAUUGCUUAAUAAACUUGUUAUGACAUGCCAUGAACACUACUAUAC